GUGGUGCAUGGCUGUCGUCAGCUCGUGUCGUGAGAUGUUGGGUUAAGUCCCGCAACGAGCGCAACCCUUGUCUCAUGUUGCCAGCGGGUAAUGGCGGGGACUCGUGAGAGACUGCCGGGGUCAACUCGGAGGAAGGUGGGGAUGACGUCAAGUCAUCAUGCCCCUUAUGUCCAGGGCUUCACACAUGCUACAAUGGCCGGUACAAAGGGCUGCGAAUCCGUGAGGGGGAGCGAAUCCCUGCAAAGCCGGUCUCAGUUCGGAUCGGGGUCUGCAACUCGACCCCGUGAAGUCGGAGUCGCUAGUAAUCGCAAAUCACCAACGCUGCGGUGAAUACGUUCCCGGGCCUU
rnacentral:rRNA from 1 species